rnacentral:rRNA from 1 species
CAGGCCUAACACAUGCAAGUCGAACGCAUCACUUCGGUGGUGAGUGGCAGACGGGUGAGUAACGCGUGGGAACGUACCCUUUGGUUCGGAACAACUCUGGGAAACUGGAGCUAAUACCGGAUACGCCCUUUUGGGGAAAGGUUUAUCUGCCGAAGGAUCGGCCCGCGUCUGAUUAGCUAGUUGGUGGGGUAACGGCCUACCAAGGCGACGAUCAGUAGCUGGUCUGAGAGGAUGAUCAGCCACAUUGGGACUGAGACACGGCCCAAACUCCUACGGGAGGCAGCAGUGGGGAAUAUUGGACAAUGGGCGCAAGCCUGAUCCAGCCAUGCCGCGUGAGUGAUGAAGGCCUUAGGGUUGUAAAGCUCUUUUGUCCGGGACGAUAAUGACGGUACCGGAAGAAUAAGCCCCGGCUAACUUCGUGCCAGCAGCCGCGGUAAU